GAAGAAAAACUCUUCUUGAGUCAGGGAGGCGAGGAGAGCCGGACGAGGGACCCACCAGAGGCGGGAGAGAGCGCCCCACAGUCAAUGUUCUUGGAGAUCGAGGCCACCCAGAUGAGCCUGGAUCCUGAGCUAGAGCUGCCCAGCCCACUGUGCGGGGCGCUGCCCGGCGAGAUGCCCUCCAAGCCGGCCAAGGCGGGAGACUGCAGGGAAGAGGAGCUGGUGAGCUACUCAUCCCUCGGCGACUUCGGGCAUGCCCCCAGG
rnacentral:lncRNA from 1 species